UACAUGGGGUGCAAACGUUGCUCGGAAUUAUUGGGCGUAAAGCGCGCGUAGGCGGUUACUUAAGUCGGAUGUGAAAGCCCUCGGCUUAACUGAGGAAGUGCACCCGAAACUGAGUAGCUAGAGUACGAAAGAGGGUCGCGGAAUUCCCGGUGUAGAGGUGAAAUUCGUAAAUAUCGGGAGGAACACCGGUGGCGAAGGCGGCGACCUGGGUCGAGACUGACGCUGAGGCGCGAAAGCGUGGGGAGCAAACAGG
rnacentral:rRNA from 1 species